rnacentral:rRNA from 1 species
AACGAACGCUGGCGGCAGGCCUAACACAUGCAAGUCGAACGCACCGCAAGGUGAGUGGCGCACGGGUGAGUAACACGUGGGAAUGUAUCCUUUGGUUCGGAAUAACGUCUGGAAACGGACGCUAAUGCCGGAUGAGCCCUUAGGGGGAAAGAUUUAUCGCCAAAGGAGCAGCCCGCGUCUGAUUAGGUAGUUGGUGGGGUAAAGGCCUACCAAGCCGACGAUCAGUAGCUGGUCUGAAAGGAUGAUCAGCCACACUGGGACUGAGACACGGCCCAGACUCCUACGGGAGGCAGCAGUGGGGAAUAUUGGACAAUGGGCGCAAGCCUGAUCCAGCCAUGCCGCGUGAGUGAUGAAGGCCUUCGGGUUGUAAAGCUCUUUCGCACACGACGAUGAUGACGGUAGUGUGAGAAGAAGCCCCGGCUAACUUCGUGCCAGCAGCCGCCGUAAAAC